AUGAACGCUAGCGGCAGGCCUAACACAUGCAAGUCGAGGGGUAUUAGGAGCUUGCUCCUAAGAGACCGGCGCACGGGUGCGUAACGCGUAUGCAAUCUACCUUUUACAGAGGGAUAGCCCAGAGAAAUUUGGAUUAAUACCUCAUAGUAUGUGAGAAUCGCAUGGUUUUCACAUUAAAGUUCCAACGGUAAAAGAUGAGCAUGCGUCCCAUUAGCUAGAUGGUAAGGUAACGGCUUACCAUGGCGACGAUGGGUAGGGGUCCUGAGAGGGAGAUCCCCCGCACUGGUACUGAGACACGGACCAGACUCCUACGGGAGGCAGCAGUGAGGAAUAUUGGACAAUGGGCGCAAGCCUGAUCCAGCCAUGCCGCGUGCAGGAUGACGGUCCUAUGGAUUGUAAACUGCUUUUGUACAGGAAGAAACACUCCCUCGUGAGGGAGCUUGACGGCACUGUAAGAAUAAGGAUCGGCUAACUCCGUG
rnacentral:rRNA from 1 species